rnacentral:rRNA from 1 species
AUUGAACGCUGGCGGCAUGCUUUACACAUGCAAGUCGGACGGCAGCACAGAGACGCUUGCUUCUUGGGUGGCGAGUGGCGAACGGGUGAGUAAUAUAUCUGAACGUACCGAGUAAUGGGGGAUAACUAAUCGAAAGAUUAGCUAAUACCGCAUAUUCUCUGAGGCGGAAAGCAGGGGACCUUCGGGCCUUGCGUUAUUCGAGCGGCCGCUAUCUGAUUAGCUAGUUGGUGGGGUAAAGGCCUACCAAGGCGACGAUUAGUAGCGGGUCUGAGAGGAUGAUCCGCCACACUGGGACUGAGACACGGCCCAGACUCCUACGGGAGGCAGCAGUGGGGAAUUUUGGACAAUGGGCGCAAGCCUGAUCCAGCCAUGCCGCGUGUCUGAAGAAGGCCUUCGGGUUGUAAAGGACUUUUGUCAGGGAAGAAAAGGCUGUUGCUAAUACCGACAGCUGAUGACGGUACCUGAAGAAUAAGCACCGGCUAACUACGUG